GGGUCCGUAGUCUAGCGGCAGGACGCCGCCUUGACGUGGCGGAAACCCCGGUUCGAAUCCGGGCGGACCCA
rnacentral:tRNA from 1 species